UCGGGAAUAUUGCACAAUGGAGGAAACUCUGAUGCAGUGACGCCGCGUGCAGGAAGAAGGUUUUAGGAUUGUAAACUGCUUUAGACAGGGAAGAAACAAGACAGUACCUGUAGAAUAAGCUCCGGCUAACUACGUGCCAGCAGCCGCGGUAAUACGUAGGGAGCAAGCGUUAUCCGGAUUUAUUGGGUGUAAAGGGUGCGUAGACGGGAAUUUAAGUUAGUUGUGAAAUACCUCGGCUCAACUGAGGAACUGCAACUAAAACUGAAUUUCUUGAGUGCUGGAGAGGAAAGUGGAAUUCCUAGU
rnacentral:rRNA from 1 species